rnacentral:rRNA from 1 species
ACCCUUCGGUGGUGGAUUAGUGGCGAACGGGUGAGUAACACGUGGGCAAUCUGCCCUUCACUCUGGGACAAGCCCUGGAAACGGGGUCUAAUACCGGAUAACACUCUGUCCCGCAUGGGACGGGGUUGAAAGCUCCGGCGGUGAAGGAUGAGCCCGCGGCCUAUCAGCUUGUUGGUGGGGUAAUGGCCUACCAAGGCGACGACGGGUAGCCGGCCUGAGAGGGCGACCGGCCACACUGGGACUGAGACACGGCCCAGACUCCUACGGGAGGCAGCAGUGGGGAAUAUUGCACAAUGGGCGAAAGCCUGAUGCAGCGACGCCGCGUGAGGGAUGACGGCCUUCGGGUUGUAAACCUCUUUCAGCAGGGAAGAAGCGAAAGUGACGGUACCUGCAGAAGAAGCGCCGGCUAACUACGUGCCAGCAGCCGCGGUAAUACGUAGGGCGCAAGCGUUGUCCGGAAUUAUUGGGCGUAAAGAGCUCGUAGGCGGCUUGUCACGUCGGAUGUGAAAGCCCGGGGCUUAACCCCGGGUCUGCAUUCGAUACGGGCUAGCUAGAGUGUGGUAGGGGAGAUCGGAAUUCCUGGUGUAGCGGUGAAAUGCGCAGAUAUCAGGAGGAACACCGGUGGCGAAGGCGGAUCUCUGGGCCAUUACUGACGCUGAGGAGCGAAAGCGUGGGGAGCGAACAGGAUUAGAUACCCUGGUAGUCCACGCCGUAAACGUUGGGAACUAGGUGUUGGCGAC